rnacentral:rRNA from 1 species
GAUGAACGCUGGCGGCGUGCCUAAUACAUGCAAGUCGAGCGAACAGACGAGGAGCUUGCUCCUUCGACGUUAGCGGCGGACGGGUGAGUAACACGUAGGUAACCUACCUAUAAGACUGGGAUAACUUCGGGAAACCGGAGCUAAUACCGGAUAAUAUUUCGAACCGCAUGGUUCGAUAGUGAAAGAUGGCUUUGCUAUCACUUAUAGAUGGACCUGCGCCGUAUUAGCUAGUUGGUAAGGUAACGGCUUACCAAGGCAACGAUACGUAGCCGACCUGAGAGGGUGAUCGGCCACACUGGAACUGAGACACGGUCCAGACUCCUACGGGAGGCAGCAGUAGGGAAUCUUCCGCAAUGGGCGAAAGCCUGACGGAGCAACGCCGCGUGAGUGAUGAAGGUCUUCGGAUCGUAAAACUCUGUUAUUAGGGAAGAACAAACGUGUAAGUAACUGUGCACGUCUUGACGGUACCUAAUCAGAAAGCCACGGCUAACUACGCG